rnacentral:rRNA from 1 species
UACGAAGGGGGCUAGCGUUGCUCGGAAUCACUGGGCGUAAAGGGUGCGUAGGCGGGUCUUUAAGUCGAGGGGUGAAAUCCUGGAGCUCAACUCCAGAACUGCCUUUGAUACUGAGGAUCUUGAGUUCGGGAGAGGUGAGUGGAACUGCGAGUGUAGAGGUGAAAUUCGUAGAUAUUCGCAAGAACACCAGUGGCGAAGGCGGCUCACUGGCCCGAUACUGACGCUGAGGCACGAAAGCGUGGGGAGCAACAGG